GGAAGGUGGUGUGGGGCGGGAGCCAGGCCACAGUGCCAGCUGGGCUGCACUGCAGGUUGCACGUGCCUGACUCACAGAAGAAGGUCAGACUGGUGGACCGCCUGUGGAGUUUCCCAGCCUGAACUUCCAGAUUUGGCCUCAGCCAGUUUAAACAACAAAUGCCUGAUGAAGAUCUUUGGAGACAUAAUAAGAAAACCUCUGUUUUUUUUAUUUUAUUAUUUUAUCCAGGUUCUUUGGCAGCAAAAAAUGUAGCUGAGAGACAGCAGAUCAGACACAUCUGAAAUCCCAGAGAACCCUGCGCUGGAGUUAAAGUCCAUUGGAGUCAGUGACCUUUUAGUCAGUGACUUUUACAGCCAUCGGAUCAGACCAGAGGUGACCUAGAUGGCAAGAGCAAGUCACUACAGGAGAGACUUGUCUUCUUCUGUUGUAGACAUGCGUGGUGGCUGUGUAUAGGCUGGCACAUCUGUGGCACAUGCAAAACAUACUCAGACACCAGUAGAGUCAAUUAUGGCAGCAAACUCCUGCAGCAGUCACAGCCACGGACCUGGCCCAUGCGCCUCAUGCUCCUUCCAGCUAUCCCUAGGUACUUUUCAUGAGUUGGAUGAUCCAGGGACAGAUUCCAAUAGGCAGUUUGCAUGCAGCCAAUGUGUUUUCAAAGAAAAGGCAUAUUACUGUCAUAGACUCAAGUCAUUUGAUCCCAGGUGGCUUUAGUGGCUGGAAGGUUCUCAGGCAUGAGCAUAGAUAGGUCCAGUAGUUACUUUUGCUAAGGCUACAGUAGUGAUAACCUGGCCCAAAUCUUGCUGAGAACUAUAUGUCUGGGGCCUAAGGACUAAUUUCUCAGCAAUCCUGACUAAAUAAAUAAAGUAAAAAUUGCUGUGAACUGCUGUUGCCCUUGGUGCAAGAAAUGCAUCAAAAAGCAUAUUAAGAAAUUGCAGAACAUAAUGCUGCAAUAUUGUGUAACCACCAUGAAUAAGAAGGGCUGUUGUAUAUUUCUAAAUGAAGAAUAUGGAAAAUUAGCAUAUAAUAGUUUGUUGGUACACAAUGCAGUUCAUAAAGAUAAGCAACUAUGCAAAGCACACAGUGUCUGGGAAAACCUGAUUAUCGUAUAUCUGUUAAAAAAUCAAGGGGGUAAGUCUUCCUGUAUACUGCUGAAUCAGCUACAUUUGCACAGUGAGAAACUUGUGACAGCAACAAGCCAAACUUGUGGUGAUCAAACCUAAUUGCUGUGUACAAUUGCAUACACAAUAGCUCAGCAUUAGCAAGCAAGAAUAUUGUUUUGUGAAUAUAUGAACCACAAAGGACUAUAAUUCAUUUAUAAUUCACUAAGAUCUCUUAUUUUCUUCUCUAGUGUCUAUACUUAGAUAAAAUAACCUUAAGAUCAAUGCAAGUGAGCAGCAACAUGGGCAGAUUAACAUGCUGUUUUGAAUAGUAGCCGAAGAGACCUUUGUGAGAGAGUACUCUUCUCACCUUCAGUGUAACUCAGAAGGAUGCUCUGCUUCAGAUCCUUCUGAACUCUGCAAAGAUAAGGCCAGCACUGCCAUGCAGGGGGAUCUGUAAGUGUUUUUUGAGAUAAUGCCUGCUAAGACAGAUGCUGGAACAUAACCAUGGCAGUUAGAAAGCUUAGCACUUCACCAUGAAAAAGUAAGGACUGGGUAGGAUUGUCUUGAAUGCAGGUAGCUUGGAUACAGAGUCAAAUUUCCCAAAUUAGAUGUUACAGAAUCACAGAAUUGCAGGGGUUGGAAGAGGCCUCAAGAGAUCAUUAAGUCCAACCCCUCUGCCAAAGUAGGCUCCCUGUAAUAAGUUGCACAGAUAGGUGUCCAGACAGGUCAGCUUUCAAUCAACAGCAAACUUGCUGAGGGAGAACUCUUAUCUCUUCAUCCACAUCACUGACGAAGACCAC